AGUGAACGCUGGCGGUAGGCCUAACACAUGCAAGUCGAACGGCAGCACAGUAAGAGCUUGCUCUUACGGGUGGCGAGUGGCGGACGGGUGAGGAAUACAUCGGAAUCUACUUUUUCGUGGGGGAUAACGUAGGGAAACUUACGCUAAUACCGCAUACGACCUACGGGUGAAAGCAGGGGAUCUUCGGACCUUGCGCGAUUGAUUGAGCCGAUGUCGGAUUAGCUAGUUGGCGUGGUAAAGGCCCACCAAGGCGACGAUCCGUAGCUGGUCUGAGAGGAUGAUCAGCCACACUGGAACUGAGACACGGUCCAGACUCCUACGGGAGGCAGCAGUGGGGAAUAUUGGACAAUGGGCGCAAGCCUGAUCCAGCCAUACCGCGUGGGUGAAGAAGGCCUUCGGGUUGUAAAGCCCUUUUGUUGGGAAAGAAAAGCAGCAGGUUAAUCCCCCGCUGUUCUGACGGUACCCAAAGAAUAAGCACCGGCUAACUUCGUG
rnacentral:rRNA from 1 species